rnacentral:misc_RNA from 1 species
GGCUGAUGAAGGCGACCGAAGAAGGAUGGGGGAAGCGCGACCUCGAUCGGGAGUUGAAGGCCUCAGAGAAGCGCGGCGUGCUCUCCGGCAAAGCGGAACUCGAAGGCAUGUUCCGUGUCUGGUCGAUCGGUUGCCCGUGGACGUAUAAAAGCGCUCAGCCAUCGAAGGCGAGCGCGCAAACGCAUUACCCGGGGAUGACGGUCGACGAGCUGGUCGCAAUGGGUAACUCCAUCAGGGC